AACGAACGCUGGCGGCAUGCCUAACACAUGCAAGUCGAACGAGAUCUUCGGGUCUAGUGGCGCACGGGUGCGUAACGCGUGGGAAUCUGUCCUUUGGUUCGGAAUAACAGUUGGAAACGACUGCUAACACCGGAUGAUGACGAAAGUCCAAAGAUUUAUCGCCAGAGGAUGAGCCCGCGUAGGAUUAGCUAGUUGGUGUGGUAAAGGCGCACCAAGGCGACGAUCCUUAGCUGGUCUGAGAGGAUGAUCAGCCACACUGGGACUGAGACACGGCCCAGACUCCUACGGGAGGCAGCAGUGGGGAAUAUUGGACAAUGGGCGAAAGCCUGAUCCAGCAAUGCCGCGUGAGUGAUGAAGGCCUUAGGGUUGUAAAGCUCUUUUACCCGGGAUGAUAAUGACAGUACCGGGAGAAUAAGCUCCGGCUAACUCCGUGCCAGCAGCCGCGGUAA
rnacentral:rRNA from 1 species